UACAGAGGUCUCAAGCGUUUGUUCGGAUUCAUUGGGCGUAAAGGGUGCGUAGGCGGCGCGGUAAGUCGGGUGUGAAAUCUCGGAGCUUAACUCCGAAACUGCAUUCGAUACUGCCGUGCUUGAGGACUGGAGAGGAGACUGGAAUUUACGGUGUAGCGGUGAAAUGCGUAGAUAUCGUAAGGAAGACCAGUGGCGAAGGCGGGUCUCUGGACAGUUCCUGAUGCUGAGGCACGAAGGCCAGGGGAGCAAACGGG
rnacentral:rRNA from 1 species